UACGAAGGGGGCUAGCGUUGCUCGGAAUCACUGGGCGUAAAGCGCACGUAGGCGGCUUUCUAAGUCAGGGGUGAAAUCCUGGAGCUCAACUCCAGAACUGCCUUUGAUACUGGAGAGCUUGAGUCCGGGAGAGGUGAGUGGAACUCCGAGUGUAGAGGUGAAAUUCGUAGAUAUUCGGAAGAACACCAGUGGCGAAGGCGACUUUCUGGCCUGUUCUUGACGCUGAGGCGCGAAAGCUAGGGGAGCAAACGGG
rnacentral:rRNA from 1 species